rnacentral:rRNA from 1 species
CGCGUAGGCGGCCGUGUGCGUCAGAGGUGAAAUCCCCGGGCUUAACCCGGGAACUGCCUCUGAUACGGCAUGGCUUGAGUCCGGGAGAGGGGAGCAGAAUUCCCAGUGUAGCGGUGAAAUGCGUAGAUAUUGGGAGGAAUACCAGUGGCGAAGGCGGCUCCCUGGACCGGUACUGACGCUGAGGCGCGAAAGCGUGGGUAGCAAACAGGAUUAGAUACCCUGGUAGUCCACGCCGUAAACGAUGGGUGCUUGGUGUCGGGGGUAUCGACCCCUCCGGUGCCGAAGCUAACGCAUUAAGCACCCCGCCUGGGGAGUACGGUCGCAAGGCUGAA